rnacentral:lncRNA from 1 species
GCCCACACUGUUGCCUGGGCUAGAGUGUAGUGGCACGAUCUCAGCUCACUGCAACCUCUGCCUCCCAGAUUCAAGAGAUUCUCCUGCCUCAGUUUCCCGAGCAGCUGGGAUUACAGAUGCCCGCCACCACACCCAGCUAAUUUUUUGUUUUUUUAGUAGAGACAGGGUUUCCCCAUGUUGGCCAGGCUGGUCUCAAACUCCUGACCUCAUGAUUUGCCCGCCUUGGCCUCCUAAAGUGAUGGGAUUACAGGCGUGAGCCACCGCACCCGGCCUGUAUUCAUAUAUAUAUAUAUAUGGAAGUACAGGCUCCAAAGCCCCCAUACUAUUUCCUGUUUCCUCUCCCUUGCACUGGUACAUGUUUGAUAUAUACAACUUUUCAAUAUUUUGGCAGCUUCACCUGUGAUUUUUUUUUAAUAAAAAAAGAAGGGGCAGGAGGUGACAGUAAUCAUCACAAUUUAUUUUUUCUUGUCACAUGAAAAGAAACAAAUCUUUGUGAAAUAAUUUAAUACUUUGAAGGGUGACCCAGAAACACAAGUAAUGGCUAUCAAUGCCUCUUCCAGCCAGUGAAGCUACAAGAACAAGGGAGUCCAAUGCUUCUUUUGAAGAAAGCUUUAAAUUCAUGGCACUAUUUUGGAAUAUGAGAAAAAUAUUUUAAAAUGCAUUUCUUGGCCUCUCUUGUUUUGUUUUGUUUCCUUCCUGCUGCUCUUGGGGAGUAUUAAUAAAAGAGAUGGGAUAAGUGAAAAACACAAGACAGAGAACUAUUUAUUUUUUUUCAGUUUUUUUGCCACUGAAAUGAAAAGAUUAUAAUAAUAAUAGUCACCAUUUAUUAAACUCUGCUAAGCACAUCAUGGCCUGAUUCAAUCCUUUUAGCAUCAUACAAGGAAGUUAUUAUCUCCCCUUUACAGAGAAGGCUGUGGCUGGGGAGGUAGGGGUUGAGAACUUGCCUGAAGUCAUAGCACAUCCUAGCUGCUAGGAACUAUUUUCUGAGCUAGGCUCUUCACACUGACCAUCUUAUAAAGUCUCUCACAGCAUCCCUGGAAUAAAUGCAUUAUUGUCAACAUUUUUAUAACUUACAAAAGGCUAAGUGGUAAAUUGAGGGUAGAAUUCAAACUGAGGUCUUUCCAACUCCAAAACAUGUGCUGUGAUGACCGUGCCAUAAACUUUCUCGUACCUUGUCAGAACAAAUGUACUGAAACUACCAUAGUUUCAGAACUGUAAUAAUCGAUGCAUAGUCCCCAUUGGUAGAUUUAGUGUUUUACAAUAGAGUUUCUGAAAAGCAGUUUUAAAAUACCCUUCAGCAAGCAUUUACUGAGGCCUCGUCUAGGCCAGGACUUGGGCUGGACAUUGCAGGCAUGGCCACAGUAACGAUGACUCAGAACUUGCCCCCAAGGAGUUCACAGUCUGGGAGCAUUGGGGAGAGGAGCAGAAAGUAAACUAGAGAGCACAAAACACAAAGUCACACUCUUGUAUAACAUACACUCAGUAAAAAGGAGGCCCACUAGAGCAGGGUUUCUCAACCUGGCACUAUUGCAUUUGGGGCUGUCUGAGUCUUGCUGUGGGGGCUGCCUGUGCAUUGUGGGGUAUUAGCAGCAUCUCUGAAUUCUACUCAGUAGAUACCAGUAGCCCCCCCACAACCAAAAAUGUCUCUGGACAUUGCCAAAUGUCUCCUGAGGUUGGGGGAGUGAGAAUCACUGCCCCACAGUUACAUCCUGGCAGAGUUAAGCAAUGAAACAAAAUCACUGGCCAUUAAUAAUACUAUAUGAUUUUCAAUUAAGAGCUUAUUUACACACCAAGUACCUUAGAAACCUGAUCUCAUCCCAUCCUCAUCAAAACCUUAUGGUGUGUACAAGCUGGAAUGAUGCCUAUUUUAUAGGUUAGGGCACUGAGGCACAAAGAGUUUAGUGGAUGCCUAGCUGCACAGUAGUGACCGAUAGAGCAGGCAUUUGAAGCCUGCCCUGCCAUCUUAGUCAGUGCACCGAGAUAUGAAGAGCAUUUUUAAAGUGUGCUAGGCUCUUUCAUUUUCAUUACAUGUCCACUGAUAUGGUUUGACUCUGUGUCCCCACCGAAAUCUCAUGUCGAAAUGCAAUCCCCACAUGUUGGAGGAGGGACCUGGUGGGAAGUGAUUGGAUCAUGGAGGUGGAUUUCCCUCCUACUGUUCUCGUGAUAGUGAGUGAGUUCUCAUGAGAUCCAAUGGUUUAAAAGUGUGUGGCACUUCCUCCCUUCACUCUCUCUCUCUCUCCGGCCACCAUGUGAAGAUAUGCGUGCUUCCCCUUCACCCUUCUGCCAUGAUUGUAAGUUUCCUGAGGCUUCCCCAGCCAUGCCUCCUGUACAGCCUGUGGAACUGUGAGUCAAACCCCUUUUCUUCACAAAUUACCCAGUCUCAGGUAGUUCUUUAUAUCAGUGUGAGAACAGACUAAUACAUCCACAGGCUGACCUAAUCUAAAAUUAGCAACACAAAGGAAUGAAUAUUUAUAAUUGUAUACAGUGUUAUCCUUUGUGAAUAUUCUAUCUUAUCCAUUCUGGACCUAAUUAAUCUAGUUUAUUUUGGAUGAUUUGCUUAUGGGAGUCUUGCUUUAACCAGGGAAAAUAUUUAUUAAUUCUGAAGAAUGUAGUAAGUUUCAUAUCUUGAUUUAUAUUUUGGCAGUUCAACCAUGCACUGUGUGGGGGCCAAAAAAAUCCCUAAAAAUAAUCAUAUGAUAUUGGCUAAGACCAAAUGCAGCCAGUUAUUUCUGUUGGUAUGUCUUAAUGAGGGAAAAAGGCAGAGCUGGAUGCCUCUUCUUUCUUAAAUUAAAAACAAAACAAAAUAAACAAGCAAAAAAAACUUCAAGAGACUUCAAAGGUCAGUAGAAAGUUUUCGUUUAAAUUGCCAAUUGUACAAUUUGAGGAAUGCAAGUAAACUGCCCUCAAAUAACUUUUCUAGGUAUUUUUCAAAAAAUUCUAAAGGGAAUAUUUGCUUUCUAGGCAAGGUUUUUAAAUAUUUCAUUAUCUAGGCUUAGAUAGCUUGGAUAGAAUAGUUAUUAUUUUAUAUUCAAUCUUUUACUUUAGCAGACUAUUAGGAUAUGCUUGUUGUGACUCAGUUUUUUGUAUCUACCAUCUGUUGGUUUAUUACCCAAAUCUAUAAGUAAACAUCAACAUAGGAAGCUUUACUGUCACUGAAGCUUUAUUAAAUAAAUGAGUUUAAUUGUGGAUUGUUAUCUGUGAAGUCAGGACCUGGGAGAGAAAAAAGCUACCAGCAACAUUCAGACUGAGAGAGGCCAAAAUACUAAUUCAUAAUUAGCCUGGUACAUAUGAAGGAUCAAAAAGAACAGGACUGUAUGUCUGACCUCUGACAGGAAGAAGGGAGACUGGCCAACUUAAAAUGCAAGGCAAGUUAUUUUCAUGCACUUGUAAAUUACAUUAUGAAUAAGUGUUGGGAAACAUUGGGCUGAUAAAAAAUUUACAAUUGAUAUCUUCAAUUACUACAUGAAGCAAAUAUGAAGUAAAGAACCAACCUGAAUGUAAUCACACUAUAGAUAUUUCACAUAUUUCCACAACUGUUUCCACUAAUUCUGACAGAAUGUCCCCCAUUCACCACAAAUAUGUUUGCCCUAUAUUAAAAUAAUAAGCUAUUUAAAUAACAAGCCUUGUGUUCCUGUAUGCAUAGAAAAUGGUUCAAUUCUUUCUGGCUCAAAUCCUUUAUAAGCAAUCAAACAUCCUACCCCAUUGUCAAUCUGGCCAUCUCCUACUCAUCUUUUUAGGUUUAUACUUAAAUGUCACUUUGAUAAUGGUUUAUUCCCUAACCUCUUAAUUGUAAUUAAGUCCCCAUAUACAUUCCCUCUUCAAAUUUGCACAUUUUAUUCCAAGCAUUUAUAGCAAUUUAUAAUUUUAUGUGUGUGCUUAUUUCUUUAAUGCCUGUCUUCUCAUUUAAUAUCUUUUCUACCCCUGUAUAUCCAGGCCCUACCACCAUAGUAGAGACUCAGUAUGUAUACUUAAUGAAGGAAUAAUGAAUACAUCAGCAAGAGAAAUAAGAGUGACCAUAUGUUCCUUAAGAGAAGCAAAGAGCAGCUCCUGUUCCUGCUGGAAUGAGUCUCCAUUCCUUGCAACAGAAGUGUCCUAAGUUAUAGCCAGAGGACGGGGGCACAUUGACAAAACAUAAAGCGGAUAUGAUAAUAACAAGGUACCAUUCCAGCAAGAACAUCUGAAGAAAGAAGCAGUGUUGUUUAUCUUUCCUUCAUCUAUUCUGAAACUAAAAUCCUUAACCAAAUUUAUUUCCGAAGUUUAACCCUUUAAUAAACUGGCCUCUGACUCCACCUGGUGGAGAUACAUAAAUCUAUGAAAAUAAACCAAUCCAAAUGAAGAUUUUAAAGUCAUCAGCUCUCUUUCAUGUCUCAAAGAAAAAACACAUAUCCCGAAAUUCAAAUAGAUGACCUUCUCGGAUGUGUUAUAGGCACUCAGAAGCCCCAAAGAAAAAAUAGUUUGAGUUGAUCAUUUGACUGUUGCUCUCAGCCUUCAUUUCUGCCUUUCUAGGUUGUGUCAGGCAUUUUGACUGUCCAGGGGCCCUGCAUAUUCUAUUUUCCUAGUUACUUGCUAAGGUUUGAAUAUUUGUCCCCCUCCAAAACUCAUGUUGAAAUUUAAUCCCAAAUGUGGCAGUAUUGAGAGGUGGGGCUUUUCAGAGGUGAUUGGGUCAUGAGAGCUCUGUUCUCAUGAGUGGAUUAAUCCAUUCAUGGAUUAAUGGAAUAAUGGACUAAUGGAUUAAUGAGUUAUCAUAGGAGUGGGACUGGUGCCUUUAUAAUAAGAGGAAGAGAGACCUGAGCUAGCACACUCACCCUCUUCACCAUGUGAGGUCCUGUGCCACCAUGGGACUCUGCAGAGUCUCAUCAGCAAGAAGCCACUUACCAGAUGUGGCCCCUUGACCUUGGGCUUCUCAGCUUCCAUAACUGUAAGAAAUAAAUUUCUUUGUAACUUGCCCAGUUUCAAGUAUUCUGUUAUAAGGAACUGAAAAUGGACUAAGAUACUUUCCUAUUGGCUUCUGGUUAGUUUCUAUCAAUAAGAAUUACUGGUAGAAGUUUGAAAGGUAGGAGUGGAGAGAUGGGACCUUUUUUAUUUUAGUUUCUAUUGGCAUUUUCCAGCAGCAAGGAACAAUGGGCAUUUCAUCAUCAUCUUUUAGCAUUUCCAGCACCCACAGCAAGGAGUCCUUUCACCUGCUUAGUAGCAGCCCUUCAGUAAUCCUAGCAUCUAUUUUAGGUGGUGUUUCAUUUGUGGUCUCAGGACUGGCCCAGGUAGUUCUCUUCUCCAUGAUUCUGGACUCUGGUGAUUCCAUCACCUCCACGUACGCCUUCAGCCAGAAGGACUGUCGCUGUUCCCAGCAGCCAUUUAGCAUAGUUACCUAAGUGUAACCAAAUUCCUGUAUUAUAUUCACUUGUUUGAAAAACCUUGAGUGAUUUCUGACCCACUUCUGUCUCAAGGCCUGAAUAUUCUGAUUCAGAUGAAUUUCAGAAAAUGGAAAAAAAAACUUAGUGAAUAAAAAAGAUUAAAUAGUUUUUAGAAAACCAUAGGAGACAAAAAAGCAACUGGAAGUCACACACACACACACACACACACACACAUUCUUUUAACUUUAUAAGUUAUAAUAAAUUAUGGUAAAAGAGUGACAAGUUUACCUACAUGAAUAUUGAAGCCUUUGUAAAAUCUUUAAAGAAAAAAGGGUACCAAUACAACAGAAAAUUUCAGACUGGAAAAAUAUUGGUAGUCAUCGUCUUAGUUUGAGCAUUUAUCAAUUGCAUUAUAGCAAAACCCUCCAAACUGCUCUCUCUGCUUUGAUUGUCUCUUUUUUUUCCAAAUCUUUUCUGCAUAUUGUCAAAGUUACAUUUCUAAGGAGCAAAUUAAAUGCUGUCACUAUGCUCUUUGAAUUAUCAGUCAACAAAGAGAUUUUUUAAACUAAUUAAUUUAUAAUUAUCCACAGAAAUACAUAUUAAAAGGACAGUGAGGUGUCUGCUAACUCUUUACUCUCUUGGAUGCAGCUUAAUUUCUUCUUCCAGGGACACUUUUCUGACAAUUUUGUUCUUAUACAAUUAUAGCAUUUUUUUUUCUUUUUUUGAGACAGGGUUUCACUCUGUCACACAGGCUGGAGUGCAGUGGCAUGAUCUUGGCUCACUGCAACCUCCGCUUCCUGGGUUCAAGCAAUUCUCAUGCCUCAGCCUCCAAAGUAGCUGGGAUUACAGGCAUGCACCUUCACAUUCAGCUCAUUUUUUUUUUUCUGUAUUUUUAGUAGAGACAGGGUUUCACCAUGUUGGCCAGGCUGGUAUUGAACUUCUGACCUCAAAUGAUCCGCCCACCUCGGCCUCCCAAAGUGCUGGUAUUACAGGCGUGAGCCACUGCGCCUGGCCAGUUAUAGCAAUUUUAAAAACAAUAUUCUAAUCAUGUCCUUUGCAG